UACGAAGGAUGCAAGCGUUAUCCGGAUUCAUUGGGUUUAAAGGGUGCGCAGGCGGAUAUGUAAGUCAGUGGUGAAAUCUCUGGGCUUAACCCAGAAAAUUGCCAUUGAUACUGUAGGGCUUGAGUAUAGUUCCUUGGCGGAAUAUGACAUGUAGUGGUGAAAUACAUAGAGAUGUCAUAGAACACCGAUUGCGAAGGCAGCUGACGAAACUAUAACUGACACUGAGGCUCGAAAAGUGCGGGGAUCAAACAGG
rnacentral:rRNA from 1 species